AAAAAAUUCAAAUUAUAUUAAAAUAUAUUGCACUUAUCUUCAAGUUACUUGAUUUUCUUAAAGUGUAUUUCCAUACCGACUGGUAGACAAUGGGUUAAUCGUUCUAGUUUAUUCUUGACCGGAAAUUAUAGUUUUUCUCAGUUUAGUUACUGGCUAGCACGAACAGGAAUUCUUCUAUAUUUCUUUCAGGAAAGAAACCCCAAAUGUAUUCUUUUUGUUGGCAAAUCCAUAAGGCUUGCUCCGCCAUCCUGGCUUGCUUUUUGCUGGUCUCGCGGAACUAUCCUGGCCACGUAGUGCGUGUCCCUCUCCCUUUUAGGGAGAGAGAAUAGAUCAUUAAUUAUCUUAUUUACUCCGUCCGUAUCUAUUUUUAUAUAUUCUUCCUUAUAUGUAACUUAUUUAUAUUUACUAUAUUAAUUAUUCCUAUUUAUUUAUAUCGAACUGAUUCGAUUAAGGGGUUAUGAAUAGGCGGGCAUAAGCUAGUAAUGAUACCAUGAAAAAGUAUGAAGUUAACGUACAAAUAAUAAGGAAGACAAAACAAAAGGAAGGAAAAGGUUCGUAACAGUUUAAACAAUCAAAAAUUUGCACUUAAGCUGUUUUCUUACACGGCAACUACACCAAUGCUACAUGACAACUACAUAUCAAUGUAAUUAUGAAUUACUUAUCAAAGAACAAAAAGAAAGCCCAAGAAAUAUUGUUUUUCGGGCUUUACCGAGAUUUCAAAGUCAAAAUAUUGGAGAAAAAAUACCACCAAAAAUGAUAGAUUUUGAUUUUGAUGUUUAAAGCCCUAUGUCUUAAUUUUUCCAGAUGGCCCAGAUCUAUCAGACAAAAUCGGUUUGAUUCGAAGCGUAAAGCAAAUCUUGGAUAAUUUACUAUUAAAAAUUUUACAAAUUACAAUUGGUAAGCUUCGGUUUUUGGUUUCUCUUUGUUUAGCAUAAUAUAUGUAUGUUCAUGAAACAAAUGUUCUAGGUUUGAUUUAUAAAAUAUGCAAUAAAUUGGAUAUCAUAUCUAUAAA